rnacentral:rRNA from 1 species
UACGGAGGGUGCAAGCGUUAUCCGGAUUUACUGGGUUUAAAGGGCGCGUAGGCGGUCUUGUAAGUCUCGUGUGAAAUCCCUCGGCUUAACUGAGGAACUGCACGGGAUACUGCAUGACUUGAGAUCGGGAGAGGGAAGCGGAAUUCCGGGUGUAGCGGUGAAAUGCGUAGAUAUCCGGAGGAACACCGGUGGCGAAGGCGGUCUGCUGGGCAGUAGCUGACACUGAGGCGCGACAGCGUGGGGAGCAAACGGG